rnacentral:rRNA from 1 species
UGCCUUAGUAACUGCGAGUGAAGCGGCAAAAGCUCAAAUUUGAAAUGAGGCCCGUUGAUUGUCUGAUUAAUCAGCUCUCGACCCCUCAGUUGUAAUUUAGAGGAUUGCCAUGGUGAUAGCGCCCAUACGAAGUUCUUUGGAACAAGACACCAAUGAGGGUGAUAGUCCCGUCAGAUGAAAAAUGGUGCGCUACGGUGUCCGAUAUGGCAUAUCCGACGAGUCGAGUUGUUUGGGAAUGCAGCUCAAAAUGGGUGGUAAAUUUCAUCUAAAGCUAAAUACAGGCUGGAGACCGAUAGCGAACAAGUAGAGUGAUCGAAAGAUGAAAAGCACUUUGAAAAGAGAGUUAAAUAGUACGUGAAAUUGUUGAAAGGGAAGCGCUUGAGACCAGAUUCGGCUGGCGGUGUUCAUCCAUGCAAAUUUCUGCAUGGUGUAUGUGCCGUUGGUUGAGCCAGCAUCGGUUCUAAUGGCGGGAUAAAGGUUCGAGGAAUGUGGCUCCAAAAUUAUGCGGAGUGUUAUAGCCUUGAGUGCAAUGUCGCCUAUUGGAAUCGAGGACCGCGCUUCGGCUAGGAUGUUGGCUAAAAGGUCUUAAGCGGCCCGUCUUGAAACACGGACCAAGGAGUCUAACAUCUAUGCGAGUGUUUUGGCGUGAAACCAUUGCGCGUAAUGAAAGUGAACGAGGUGGGAACCCCAAGUUGGGGUGCACCAUCGACCGAUCCUGAAGUUUACGGAAGGAUUUGAGUAGAAGCAUAGCUGUUGGGACCCGAAAGAUGGUGAACUAUGCCUGAAUAGGGUGAAGCCAGAGGAAACUCUGGUGGAGGCUCGCAGCGGUUCUGACGUGCAAAUCGAUCGUCAAAUUUGGGUAUAGGGG